rnacentral:ribozyme from 13 species
AAACAGAAGAAAUGGAAGAAAUAGAAGAAACAAAAGAAAGGAGAAAGAUAGAAGAAUUUGAUCAUGAUAUUACCGCUCUUUCAAACUCUUCCUCUUCUGGAAUUGCUCUCUCUCCUUCCU